CGAAGCGCACCGCACCAGACGAUCCUUCCUCUUCGUCUUCGGAAACCCUCCCGAGCGCGGACAGACCAGACUAGACCAAGUCCACGCGAAAACCUCGCGGAAGGUUUGGUCUGGAGGCGCCUGGAUUUGGAUGAGCAGCGAUCUCAGCACAAAGAGGGCUGUUGAGAAGUCACGCCCCAUGUCGGAGAGAGACGCGGUGCCCACGAUCCCAUCCAGCGAGCCCUCACCUCCCAGCGAUCACGAGAAAGGGCAGCAUUGCAGCAUUGCAGCAUUGCAAAAGUGUUACAACGUGUUUUGAAGUUAUAUUGAUGGUUUUUCUUUUUCUUUUCCUAGCAUUAUUGUACCUAUUUUUAGAUUAUGUACUUGAUUAAACUUGGUUUCAUUUAACUAGUAUUUUGUUACUAUUGUACAAAGAUUUUUUCUUCUUUCAUAAAAUAUAUUAUUUUAUAUCUUUUUAUAGUACUCUAUGGCACUAACUAUUGAUGUUGAUUUGUUCAACCUCUUUCCAAAGAAUAAUCAAUAUUAAAUAUGUUUAACAAAAAAAAUCAUUAAAGAUGAUAUAUUAAUUUA